rnacentral:lncRNA from 1 species
AUCAAAAUACUUUGUAUCAUAAUAUAUCAUAAUUUUUUAUUGAAUAUGUGCAUAAUUGACGUACCAUAAUAUUUCAAAAGUACUUUUCUUUCAAAACAUAAUUCAUAAUUCAUGCAUAAUUUCAGAGAAUAAUUAUUUAUUUUCAGAAUAAAUAUGAAAUAUCUCGAGAAAAUGAUUCAUUACUUACCUUUCACGGAGCACUGAAUGAAUAGAUCGACUAACUUCUAGAAGAUUCUUCAGUGCCUAUUAUCCAAAAUUAUAUUUUUACAUUAAUUUUAAUUCAAAAUUAAAUCUAAACAAAUCCCAAAUCAAAAUCUCACUUAAAAUCAGACUCUUCCCUAAACUC